GCUACGGACCGACAACAGGUGACGCCGCCGCCGCCCAGCCGAAGCGAAGCGUAGUGGGCCGACGAAGCGUUUCAGCACACGCCUCAGCGCUGCUAGCGCCGUCGCUGGUCUACGGGUACUGUGCGUGAAUCUCGACAGUCGGCGCGAUGCGCAGAGUGACCCGCCUGUGACGAUGACAACCUGUGCAGACCUUACAUCCCAGUGAUACUUUUUAUUUCCUUGCGCGCGGUUGUUUCCGGUCACGACAAAUCACGUCCUAAAUGGAGCUCUCUGCUCUGACGGAUGGACUGACAUUAUCCAGGUAGUGUUCUGUUGACUGGUCGCCGCCAAGAACAGGCUAAUCUUGCUCAUCUGCUGGCGUCAGGGCAGCCACUGGUCGCCAGCAACACCUCUGAGGCGAGGCCAAGAGGCGGCACUCGUGGUCCAGCGACUGUGACUUCCAGCUGGUGGCCGGGGCGACUCUGCAGCCUCGCGCCCUCUCCACGUGGUACCUCACCGCAACGGAUGGCGUUCCGGACGUUGUCGGGCCUUGCGGUAGUGGAGGAGGAGUCGGCAGUAGCAGUAGCAGUACCGACAAUAGCAGUGACGAGGAGGGAGGAGACACCGACGACGGAAGAGACGGCGGCGGGGGCGGCAGCGGUGGCAACGACGGCGACGAAGAGGAAGAAGAGGAGGAGGGCGGCGGGCAAGAGGAGGCCGGGGGCUGCGGGGGCGAAGCUG